rnacentral:rRNA from 1 species
CGUAGGGUGCGAGCGUUAAUCGGAAUUACUGGGCGUAAAGCGUGCGCAGGCGGUUUUGUAAGCCAGAUGUGAAAUCCCCGGGCUCAACCUGGGAAUGGCAUUUGGGACUGCAAGGCUGGAGUGUGGCAGAGGAGACCGGAACUCCUGGUGUAGCAGUGAAAUGCGUAGAUAUCAGGAGGAAUACCGAUGGCGAAGGCAGGUCUCUGGGCUAACACUGACGCUCAUGCACGAAAGCGUGGGGAGCAAACAGGAUUAGAUACCCUGGUAGUCCACGCCCUAAACGAUGUCGACUGGUUGUUGGGGGUUUGACACUCUCAGUAACGAAGCUAACGCGUGAAGUCGACCGCCUGGGGAGUACGGCCGCAAGGUUA